rnacentral:ncRNA from 2 species
UUCUCAUCAAGAGAGAUAGAGGGACCGGCCCGAUGAUAUCUCGGCAACCAUCAGGCGAUAAUUGCCUGAAUAGGUGCUAAUUCCUGCGUUAAGUCAAUAGUAACUUAGCGGAAGAUGAGAG